rnacentral:lncRNA from 1 species
UUCAGCUCAGUCUAUCUGGUUGGUUACAUUGAGGAGGAAAGAAUUUCAACCACUCUACUGCAAUGGCUCUGAAGUAGUUCCCAACUGAUUACACUAGAACCUGGGGUUUGGUUCCCUACUGAGUAGAGUACUUUUACUAAGUACACUAGGGACUGGGGUUUGGUUCCCUACUGAGUACUCUUCUACUAAGUACACUAGGGGCUGGGUUUGGUUCCCUACUGAGUAGAGUACUUUUACUAAGUACACUAGGAGCUGGGGUUUGGUUCCCUACUGAGUACUAUUCUACUAAGUACACUAGGGGAUGGGGUUUGGUUCCCUACUGAGUACUCUUCUACUAAGUACACUAGGGGCUGGGGUUUGGUUCCCUACUGAGUACUAUUCUACCCAGUGCACUAGGGGCUGGGGGUUGGUUCCCUACUGAGUACUCUUGACCCAGUGCACUAGGGGGCUGGGGGUUGGUCCCUACUGAGUACUUUCUACCCCAGGCACUAGGGCUGGGGUUGGUUCCCUACUGAGUACUCUUCUACUCAGUGCACUCGGGGCUGGGGGUUGGUUCCCUACUGAGUACUCUUCUACCCCAGUGCACUAGGGCUGGGGGUUGGUUCCCUACUGAGUACUCUUCUCCAGUGCACUAGGGUCUGGGGGUUGGUUUCCCUACUGAGUACUCUUCUACCCCAGGGCACUAGGGGCUGAGGGUUGGUUCUGUAACAGAGUACUCUUCUACCCAGGGCACUAGGGUGGGGGUUGGUCCCUAUGAGUACUCUUCUACCCAGUGCACUAGGGGCUGGUCGUUGGUUCCCUACUGAGUACUCUUCUACCCAGUGCACUAGGGGCUGGGGGUUGGUUCCCUACUGAGUACUCUUCUACCCAGGGCACUAGGGGCUGGGGAGUUUGGCUUUGAGAAGUGCUACUCCAAC